UACUUCAGCUCUAACUACUUCUUUUAUAUUAGGAUUUAACCUACGUUGAUGCUCAAUAGAAGGUUUGUAGUUAUCUUCCAUUAAAAUUUUAUGCAUGCAUAUGCUAGAACUAAAUCCCCUAAUAUCAUCAAUAGACCAGCCUAGUGCUUUCUAAUGCUUUCUUAAUACAUGCAAUAAUUUUUUCUCUUGUUCAGCAGACAAAUGAGC
rnacentral:lncRNA from 1 species